rnacentral:rRNA from 1 species
GCCAGACUCCUACGGGAGGCAGCAGUGGGGAAUAUUGGACAAUGGGGGGAACCCUGAUCCAGCGACGCCGCGUGAGUGAAGAAGUAUCUCGGUAUGUAAAGCUCUAUCAGCAGGGAAGAAAGAAAUGACGGUACCUGACUAAGAAGCCCCAGCUAACUACGUGCCAGCAGCCGCGGUAAUACGUAGGGAGCGAGCGUUGUCCGGAAUUACUGGGUGUAAAGGGGGCGCAGACGGCGAUGCAAGCCAGGAGUGAAAGCCCGGGGCCCAACCCCGGGACUGCUCUUGGAACUGCGUGGCUGGAGUGCAGGAGGGGCAGGCGGAAUUCCUGGUGUAGCGGUGAAAUGCGUAGAUAUCAGGAGGAACACCGGUGGCGAAGGCGGCCUGCUGGACUGCAACUGACGUUGAGGCCCGAAAGCGUGGGGAGCAAACAGGAUUAGAUACCCUUGUAU